rnacentral:rRNA from 1 species
GUGCCAGCAGCCGCGGUAAUACGUAGGGGGCAAGCGUUGUCCGGAUUUAUUGGGCGUAAAGAGCUCGUAGGCGGUUCCGUAAGUCGGAUGUGAAAAAUCUGGGCUCAACCCAGUGGAGCACCCGAUACUGCGGUGACUCGAGUCCGGUAGGGGAGUGUGGAAUUCCUGGUGUAGCGGUGAAAUGCGCAGAUAUCAGGAGGAACACCGACGGCGAAGGCAGCACUCUGGGCCGGUACUGACGCUGAGGAGCGAAAGCAUGGGGAGCGAACAGGAUUAGAAACCCCCGUAGUCC